rnacentral:rRNA from 1 species
UACGGAGGGGGCAAGCGUUAUUCGGAAUUAUUGGGCGUAAAGGGCGCGUAGGCGGCUAGAUGUGUCAAAGGUGAAAGCCCCCGGCUCAACUGGGGAGGGUCACGCGAUACUGAUCGACUCGAAGGCAGGAGAGGGAAGUGGAAUUCCCGGUGUAGUGGUGAAAUGCGUAGAUAUCAGGAGGAACACCGGUGGCGAAGGCGGUUCUCUGGGCAUGUCCUGACGCUGAGGAGCGAAAGUGUGGGGAGCGAACAGG